rnacentral:rRNA from 1 species
AUACGGAGGGUGCAAACGUUGUUCGGAAUUACUGGGCGUAAAGCGCGCGUAGGCGGUUUGUUAAGUCAGAUGUGAAAGUCCACAGCUCAACUGCGGAAGUGCAUUUGAAACUGGCAGACUUGAGUACUGGAGGGGGUGGUGGAAUUCCCGGUGUAGAGGUGAAAUUCGUAGAUAUCGGGAGGAAUACCGGUGGCGAAGGCGACCACCUGGCCAGAUACUGACGCUGAGGUGCGAAAGCGUGGGGAGCAAACAGGAUUAGAAACCCUAGUAGUCC